UCCUACAGCCACACCGGACUGAACGCGCCCCAUCUUGGAAGCUAAGCAGUUCUGGGCCUGGCUAGUACUUGGAUGGGAGACCGCCUGGGAGUCUCGGGUGCUGUAGGCU
rnacentral:rRNA from 1 species